GAAAUGAAUCAGUGCGCAUCAUGGUGCGCAUGACGUCAGUCUACAGUUGAAAAUUGUGGAGACAGGUCACGUUCCAUCGGUUGAGAAGUUUUUAUGCCAUUAUUUGAUCCAAGCAUCGAAGGCGGGAAAUGUAAUAAUUAAUACGCCAUAACGAUUAAAAGAUAAUUCGACGAUUGUCAUCAUAAAUAUGAUAAGUAGCUGAAAUUAUUUUAAGUAAGAAAAAGAAUCUUCAAUAUGAAUGCCAUAAUAACAAGUUCUAUACAAGAGAAGUAAGAGUUAAUUUUUAAUUUUUAAAGAAAGAUGUAUGUAAGUAUUUUCCUUUUAUUAAAUUAUUAUUUGUAUGGUAUGUGUAUAGUUUUUGAUUCAUUAUUACUAUAUUGAAAGUAUGAAGA